AAUAAGCGCAGUCGUGGAUAUCCGUGCCCAACGUUUGACCGUCCGUCUUAUUUGAAAAAUUUGUGAAAAAUUUAAAAAUAUUUAGUCACACAUAAAGUACUAUUCAUGUUUUAUCAUCUAAUAGUAAUAAAAAUACUAAUCAUAAAAUUUUUUCAAAUAAGACGAACGGUCAAACGUUGAACGUGAAUAGUGCAAAACUACACUUAUU
rfam:Oryza glaberrima chromosome 1 Oglab01_0186_12, whole genome shotgun sequence.